GCGGCAGCAGGGUUGGGCUCUCGCCGUGAGUCGACGAAGGGAGCGCGGGCGCGCGCCCGCGUCCGCGCACUGAGAGUCGCCUCGGCCGCUCGCUUUCUCGACUCCCGCCUCGCGCCUCGAUCCUGUUCCGCCUCCCUCGGCCCUCCUGCCCGCCCCCACUCGUCGGCCCUCAGGUUCCUGGAAAGUGAAAAUUUCAUUUCUUUGUGGACAGGUACCUAAAAUGUCUCAUUAUUCAUCAAUUAAUGAAAAACAAAUGAAAAUUUGAGAGAGAUAUUCUGAAGAAUAAAAGGAUCAAGUUGGGUCAUUUCUAAAAUCUCAGAGACCUAAUAGGAUGGGGUCUUAGAGAAACAUCUUUUGAGCCACAGACUUCUUUGUUACCAGAAGGAAAAUGAAAGAAGAAAUUUAAAUACCACUUGAAGAGAGAGAGUGUGAAGAAAUGACCCUGAAAAGCCUCUGGCAGAGGAUUCUUCUUUCAGGAUGGUGUCGCCUCCUCAGCAGCCCAUCCUCCUCCCCUGGACUCAAGCUCUCAUUCCAGUAACACUCCUUCCUCCUUCUCCAUCUUCAGGGGGAGGUUUGCCAGUCGGUGCUGCCCAGUUCAUGAGUGCUGCUGCUGUCCUGCCCAAGUACCCAGCUUGCAGAGUGCCAGAGUUAGAGUCCCAGGGGUGUUCUCCACAGCUGCAUGCUUGAUCCAGGCCUAUCAGGUGUUAUUUGUUGACGGAACCAGGCAUCAUCAGCAAACAAAACUGACAAAGCUUCCUGCCCUCUGUGGAAGGCAUCUGAGGAAGAGACUGGAUUUUGUAGCAACAUGUUAUUCUCAUUAUAAACUUUAUCAUUGGAAUACUAAAGCCAAAUCAUCCCCCAUCUCCUUGAUCAGGAUACCCACUUAAUCUAGGCAGCUACACAAUUGUGAGAGCCUUUGUUUUUUUCUGCUGAAACAUCCUUAAAAAGAUACCUCACAACCCAAGAUUUGGCUUUUCUUAAAUACGAUUUUUAAUUUUUUUCAUUUCUAUCUAGAGAUUUAAUUGGAAAUGGAAAAUCAUCAAUUUUCCAAUUAAAUGUCUGUUCCAAUCAACAUUAUACCUUUUAGGUUGUCAUUGUCAUUUUUAAGUUUAAGCAACUUUAAGGAUUUUGAAUCUGGCUGCCUGUAAAUUAAAGGUGAAAGUAAUCAUUGUGUUGGAUUGGAACAUUUUGUCAAUUGAGAGUGGUUUCCUUGUUCUUAGUGUAUGAAAAGUUUAUUUUUCUAAUGUAGAUUAAUAAAGGAGAUAAAGAAAAACAAAA
ensembl:lncRNA novel transcript, antisense to CBLN1